rnacentral:rRNA from 1 species
AUACGUAGGUGACAAGCGUUAUCCGGAUUUACUGGGUGUAAAGGGCGUGUAGGCGGUUUAGCAAGUCAGAAGUGAAAUUCCCGGGCUUAACUUGGGCGCUGCUUCUGAAACUGCUUUACUUGAGUGCUGGAGAGGAUAGUGGAAUUCCUAGUGUAGCGGUAAAAUGCGCAGAUAUUAGGAGGAACACCGGUGGCGAAGGCGGCUAUCUGGACAGUAACUGACGCUGAGGCGCGAAAGCACGGGGAGCAAACAGGAUUAGAUACCCUGGUAGUCCGUGCCGUAAACGAUGAAUACUAGGUGUAGGGGGUAUCGACUCCCUCUGUGCCGCAGUUAACACAUUAAGUAUUCCACCUGGGGAGUACGGUCGCAAGGUUGAAACUCAAAGGAAUUGACGGGG